CUCUGUUUUCCUGUUGCAAGUCUCUAAUCUGUGUGUUCUCUUGGGACAGCAGAAUGUGAGGUUUGUAUUUGGACAUGUCCUUCAUAUCGGAUGCAUCCUCUUGAUACUGGACAAAUAGAGACAGACUAAGCAUGCCUUAAAGAGAACAGCGGCAGAUGCAACUGAAGAGGCAGAAGUUAGGGCUCCAGGGCAGGAUUCUCAGCCCCGACCCAGGAAAAUGGUCUCACCGCCGCCCUCUGAGACCGGGAAUAAAUUCCAGGCCGAGUUCCCACUUUACCUCGCUCUCCACCCUUCAGUGCCCAGAAUCCGAGAGCACUGGACUCCUACCCUCUGCCUGACCUGGUCCGGAAGCGCUGUCCCCGCCUCCCGCAUAGCUGCUACCCGCCGGUGCAGCGCCGCCGACUGAUCCACCAGCGACUCGGCGGCCGCAUCGUGCUCCCGUAGCCUCUCCAGCAGCGUCUUGGCGUCUGUCAGGAUCUUCUCGAUGGUGCAGCUCAUAGCAGCAGCACCACCCCAGCCCCUGCCGGGCUCAGCUACGCGACUCGCUCAGAUCUUCU
rnacentral:lncRNA from 1 species